UACGUAGGGUGCAAGCGUUGUCCGGAAUUAUUGGGCGUAAAGAGCGCGUAGGCGGCCGAGUAAGUCCGACGUGAAAUCUGGAGGCUCAACCUCCAGCGGUCGUUGGAAACUACUCGGCUAGAGUCCGGAAGAGGAGAGUGGAAUUCCUGGUGUAGCGGUGAAAUGCGCAGAUAUCAGGAAGAACACCGAUGGCGAAGGCAGCUCUCUGGGACGGUACUGACGCUGAGGCGCGAAAGCGUGGGGAGCGAACAGG
rnacentral:rRNA from 1 species